rnacentral:rRNA from 2 species
AGGGGGCAAGCGUUAUCCGGAUUUACUGGGUGUAAAGGGAGCGUAGACGGUAAAGCAAGUCUGAAGUGAAAUGCCAGUGCUCAACACUGGAACUGCUUUGGAGACUGUUUGGCUGGAGUGCAGGAGAGGUAAGUGGAAUUCCUAGUGUAGCGGUGAAAUGCGUAGAUAUUAGGAGGAACACCAGUGGCGAAGGCGGCUUACUGGACUGUAACUGACGUUGAGGCUCGAAAGCGUGGGGAGCAAACAGGAUUAGAUACCCUGGUAGUCCACGCGGUAAACGAUGAUUACUAGGUGUCGGGGGGUUAUAACCCUUCGGUGCCGCCGCAAACGCAAUAAGUAAUCCACCUGGGGAGUACGUUCGCAAGAAUG